GGAGACUUACCCAAGAGGCUGAAGGGUCUGGAUUCGAAAUCCAGUAGGUCGGUACGCCGGCGCAAGGGUUCAAAUCCCUUAGUCUCCG
rnacentral:tRNA from 1 species